AACAACAUCCUCUUCUCUCAUCAGACUUUACUAGAUUUCACAAAACUCAUUCCCCUGUUUGAAAAUGGUCACAACUUUUUCCUAAAUUCAAAGCCCACCACACCGUACAGGGAUUCCCCUGAAAGCAAAAUCUGGGGACCUAAUAGGCAUUUCUGUUGAUUAUCUUUUUCAAAGUCUUACAUAUCUUCUACUGAACAUCAGGCCUCUCAUAUUGUGUCCUGAUAUUCUUACAAAUUAUGUCACCUCCUACCUUAUUUGUUUAUUUUUAGGGGUGAUGGAGUUGUUGUGAGACACGUAACCAUUGAAGUCUGAAUGCAAAAGAAUGUACAACCUACAUUUAUGCUGCAGGGUGAGAUAAAAUGGGAUCUAUCCCUGAAACUCCACCAAUCACAACGCAAUCAAGGCAGCAUGAGAAAGUAGGUUAAAGUUGAAUUGGAGAAGAAGGCCAGUAGCUGCAGUGCUUUCCCACAGCGAGGGGGGAGUGUCACCCUGCUCCGCCAAAUGCUGCUCAUCUCUUGCUGGUUUGGAUCUCAGGAGCUAAAGCCAUGUUUUGCAGCAACAUUAGUUUUUGCACGUGCGUCAGGAUGGGUGAGGGACGCUCCUGCAGGCAGUGGCAGAAGGCUGUGUGUGUGGGGGUUGGGUUUUUAGAGGGGUUACAGGUCACAAGCCUCAUGGGCUUCCUUGACCAGCUCGACGCUAAAUGGCGGAGCGAGGGUUGAAAAGAGAGGGCUGCAAGAGACACAACAUCUGCGGUGGAAGGUACGCAGCAAGAGCGGAGCCUUGUGCUUGAUGGAUGGCGUUCACAUGGAUCCAUUCAAUUGAAGAAAACUCAACACACUCCUCAGAUUCUCCUGGCUGGAAGCGACUUGUCUGGAAGAAGCGAUCCACUUAAUCAAUUCCCUCUGACGUCUCCUACCUGUUACAGUCUUCCAGCUAAGGUGGAUAGCUGUCAUAAUCAGGCUUUGUGACGUCCUACCUCGCAGGUUUCAAACUCCUUUAAAAUGACUUCAUCAUUUCAGCACAUAACUGAAAGAAACUGCACAGCGUCUCUCUUUUGUCAGAUGUUUUGAAGCAGCUGCACUAUUUUGAGUAGAAAUAGGAGGUCAUGACACAUAAAGGCAAAUAGAUCAUAUAAAGUGCAGGGAUGUACAAAACAUUCAUACGCUUGCACACUUUCUUCAUGCAGAAGUUUCAGUCCAGCUCAGAGGUUUUCUCAGAUCUGAAGUCUGAAAAAAAUUUAGUUUCCUGAUAGGAUCAAAAUAAAAUGUGUAUAUGAGUAUAAACAUGAUGCAUUAAUGAACAAAAACAAAUUUUUCUCUGAUAACGGGUGCUAGGAUAAGUCGCUCCUGUUUGCACGUAGACUGACCACUAGAUGGCGCCACCUCAACUUCAAUAUCUCAUUUAGGCUUUAACGUGUAGAAUAAAUGAUGUUUGUAGUUUAAAGGGAAAAAGUAAACAUGAAACCGUCUUUGCUCCUUUUUGGCUCAGUUUCUAUGUUAUUUGUGAAUAUAUAUAUAUAUAUAUAUAUAUAUAUAUAUAUAUAUAUAU